GAUGAAGAACGUAGCGAAAUGCGAUAAGUAAUGUGAAUUGCAGAAUUCAGUGAAUCAUCGAAUCUUUGAACGCACAUUGCGCCCGCCAGUAUUCUGGCGGGCAUGCCUAUUCGAGCGUCAUUACAACCCUCAGGCCCCCGGGCCUGGCGUUGGGGAUCGGCGGAAGCCCCCUGCGGGCACAACGCCGUCCCCCAAAUACAGUGGCGGUCCCGCCGCAGCUUCCAUUGCGUAGUAGCUAACACCUCGCAACUGGAGAGCGGCGCGGCCACGCCGUAAAACACCCAACUUCUGAAUGUUGACCUCGAAUCAGGUAGGAAUACCCGCUGAACUUAAGCAUAUCAAUAAGCGGAGGA
rnacentral:misc_RNA from 1 species